rnacentral:misc_RNA from 1 species
GAACGCACAUUGCGCCUUCUGGUAUUCCGGUAGGCAUGCCUGUUUGAGCGUCAGCAAAACACCCUCGGUACUGUGUAUUUUCAUAUUCAGUGCCGGUCUUGGGCAGUGGAUGCCGGUGGUUAUUUCUUUCCACCUGCGCCCUCCCUAAACUUGCUGCACGACCGCAAGCCCCUUCUAGCCAGGUCAAUGGAGUGGUGUUACAAUCUUCCAAAAAGCCUGCUGGUAAACUGCUUUGCGGCGUUAAACCUUAACGCCUCCCCUCCGAGGGAGACUUGAAGUUUUGACCUCAGAUCAGACAAGGAUACCCGCUGAACUUAAG